GAGCAGUCACAUAGGUAGGAGGAGAACCAAGAAAGAGUAGUGUCUCAAACACCCAGAGAAAAGUGAGUGUCAAGGAGGAGAGAGCGAUCAGCAGUGUCAAAGGCUGCAGAAAGGUCAAGGAGAAUGAGGAUUGAGAAAAGGCUAUUGGAUUUCACAACUAAAAGAUUGUUAGUAACUUGGGAAAGAGCAGUUUCUGUGGAAUAAUAAGGUCAUUACGGAACUAGAAAUGGUGACCAACAGAGGCAACAGUAAAGUGCUGAGAACUCCCCCAGUCACACCGGGAGAUCUAAGAAUUGGAACCAGUCUCAAUGGAACAACAAUGGUGAAGCAUCAGAGGUUCCUGGUCAGGCAGAAGAAUUCUUGGCUGGAGAAGAGGAAUUUCUGGCUAAUGCUUAAUAUGUGGACCAGACAGGUGAGGGAGCAGUUACUGAAGAAAGAAGCCUUUGAGGUGGCUGCUCAGAGAAGGCACCAAAUUGCACUUAAGGUCUGACUUCCCAC